CAGAUACUAUAAUAGAGGAAUCACAAACUAAUAGUGAAUUGAAUUUCCACAUGAUUACCUGAGGAGAGAAGAUGAUCAAAAUGGAAUGGAAAGGAUCAAAUAAAGAAGAGAGAUAUUUAAUCUAUAUAUUUAAUUAUAUAUACUUAUUUAUGAUAUUGUUCAUUGUUUUAUUUUACCACUUCACUAUUCUGCAAAAAAAAACAUAAAUGCAAAAUUUUUAAUAAUAUGUUGCCAACCUAUAAGACAAGUGAAAUAAAUGAGAAAAAACUUAAAGUAUAAUGGUAGAAAUCUAUGUUUGUAAAUUUCAACAAUCAAUAAGAAGUAGAAUUAUUCAAGCAACAGAACUCCUUGUGAUUACAUGUUUCAAAAAUAAAAA
rnacentral:lncRNA from 10 species